rnacentral:rRNA from 1 species
CCUACGGGCGGCAGCAGUGGGGAAUAUUGGACAAUGGGGGCAACCCUGAUCCAGCCAUGCCGCGUGUGUGAAGAAGGCCCUCGGGUUGUAAAGCACUUUCAGUGAGGAAGAACGCCUGGUGGUUAAUACCCAUCAGGAAAGACAUCACUCACAGAAGAAGCACCGGCUAACUCCGUGCCAGCAGCCGCGGUAAUACGGAGGGUGCGAGCGUUAAUCGGAAUUACUGGGCGUAAAGCGCGCGUAGGUGGCUUGAUAAGCCGGUUGUGAAAGCCCCGGGCUCAACCUGGGAACGGCAUCCGGAACUGUCGAGCUAGAGUGCAGGAGAGGAAGGUAGAAUUCCCGGUGUAGCGGUGAAAUGCGUAGAGAUCGGGAGGAAUACCAGUGGCGAAGGCGGCCUUCUGGACUGACACUGACACUGAGGUGCGAAAGCGUGGGUAGCAAACAGGAUUAGAUACCCUGGUAGUC